GUCAAGGUUUCAAGCUGUGAAGUUCACUGACCCAUUUGUGCUAAAAGGAGGGGAAAGAAAACAAAUAAAAAAACCCACUUGGUUCCAAACUGGUGGUGGUAGACUGAAAAUGAAGAUCACCCAAACAUAAGCCUUAUGUUUUCCUGUGCAGCAUGAUUUGAAGGCAUAUGCAGAUGCUGACCAAAGCCCUGCUUUCUCUGGGGAAUACAGGAUUUCCUGGCACUUACCUUCAUGAGGCUUGAUUAUCACUCACACAUGGCUGUGAAUGUCACUUCUCUUCAGGGCUAUAGUUCAAAAUUUUUCUUCCAGAGGAUGGAAGGCUGCUGUUCCUCAUUAGGAACUCAGAUAAUCAAUGGUAGGAGCCUGCAGUAGAGACUGGGAUGAGGAGAGCUUGACCGGCUCCUGCAGCAGCUGAAAACAAGUUGACUGACUGCCAAUGGCAGGUGGAAGCUUGGCAGAAGGAAGAGUUUAAGUCCAAAGAGAAGGUCUUGUCUGUGCAGACUGGAAAAUACUCUAGAGACUACUGAGAGACAAAGUAGAGAAAAACUCAGGUAUGAGCCGGUUUUGAGAACUGAAUGCAUUGUAAAGUUCAAAGAGGUGAAGAGAAGGAGCAGUCUCUGAGUAAGACAGCUAAAGAAGUGGAGGCUUUCUAGGAGGGUGGCUUGGAAAGCACGAGAGUGAGUGAGAGAGAGAGAGAUGAGUGAAAAGGGGUUUAAGGAAAAAAAUCUGGGGAGAGUCAGGUCAGGGAAGGCUCUUGCAUGAGGCAGUCUAGUAUUUGGAAACCAAGGUGUUUCCUGAACAGGUUUGGAUGUAUAAUGGUAGGAUUCUGAACAGAUUUUUUUUUGAGAAGUGGGGUGGUUCUAUUCGCUGGCAUAAAUGCGUUUCUUUAUUUCAUUCUUGGAUGCUUUUGCCAGGCCAUUUAAUAUACUAACACUUUUCUUUUGAAAAGCUUUCUCACCCCUGAUUAAUAUCUGUAUAAAAACCCCACAAUUUUAGUACACUUAGAUUUGGUCACAAAUGUGAUUUUCAUUUAAUGUUAAUUAGUGCAUCACCUGUUGCAGUCCUAAUUGGUUUCUAUCUGUCCUUUGGGCAAGGGUGUAAAUGUAGGAUCUUUGCAACUUGCUCUUCUAGGAAUCAGUCACUUUACAGUGCUGGCAAAUCACUGUUCUGAAGUAUAUCCUGGGGCAACAAUUGUCAGUUAAGAUCCAGCUAAGUUAAGCCAUUUAUUAUUUUAGAUCUUUGACUUCUUUCCAAACUAUGCCAUCACUAUUGUUU
rnacentral:lncRNA from 1 species